GCGCCCGUAGCUCAGUUGGAUAGAGCAUCCGCCUUCUAAGCGGACGGUCACAGGUUCGAAUCCUGUCGGGCGCGCCA
rnacentral:tRNA from 1 species